GACCUGGUGGUGAAAUGAAUCACACCUGCUAUAUAUGAUGUAUGCCCCUACUCGUGUGAAGCAGGAGGUCCCGGUUCGAUUCCGGGUCGGGUCA